CAGCACGGGAGUAGCAAUACAACUGGUGGCGACCGGCGCACGGGUGAGUAACGCGUAUGCAACCUACCUAUCAGAGGGGAAUAACCCGGCGAAAGUCGGACUAAUACCGCAUAAAACAGGGGCACCGCAUGGUGAUAUUUGUUAAAGAGAUUCGCUGAUAGAUGGGCAUGCGUUCCAUUAGGUAGUUGGUGAGGUAACGGCUCACCAAGCCGACGAUGGAUAGGGGAACUGAGAGGUUGGUCCCCCACACUGGUACUGAGACACGGACCAGACUCCUACGGGAGGCAGCAGUGAGGAAUAUUGGUCAAUGGGCGGGAGCCUGAACCAGCCAAGUCGCGUGAAGGAAGAAGGAUCUAUGGUUCGUAAACUUCUUUUGCAGGGGAAUAAAGUGCAGGACGUGUCCUGUUUUGUAUGUACCCUGAAAAUAAGGAUCGGCUAACUCCGUGCCAGCCGCCGC
rnacentral:rRNA from 1 species